rnacentral:rRNA from 1 species
GACGAACGCUGGCGACGUGCUUAACACAUGCAAGUCGAACGCUGAAGACCUGGCUUUUGUUGGGUUGGAUGAGUGGCGCACGGGUGAGUAACACGUGAGUAACCUGCCCUCUUCUUUGGGAUAACGCCCGGAAACGGGUGCUAAUACUGGAUAUUCACUGAUCUUCGCAUGGGGGUUGGUGGAAAGGUUUGUUCUGGUGGGGGAUGGGCUCGCGGCCUAUCAGCUUGUUGGUGGGGUGAUGGCCUACCAAGGCUUUGACGGGUAGCCGGCCUGAGAGGGUGACCGGUCACAUUGGGACUGAGAUACGGCCCAGACUCCUACGGGAGGCAGCAGUGGGGAAUAGAGCACAAUGGGCGAAAGCCUGAUGCAGCGACGCCGCGUGAGGGAUGGAGGCCUUCGGGUUGUAAACCUCUUUCGCUCAUGGUCAAGCCGCAACUGUGGGUUGUGGUGAGGGUAGUGGGUAAAGAAGCGCCGGCUAACUACGUG